AACGAACGCUGGCGGCAGGCCUAACACAUGCAAGUCGAGCGCCCUUUCGGGGGAGCGGCGGACGGGUGAGUAACGCGUGGGAAUAUGCCCUUCUCUACGGAAUAGCCUCGGGAAACUGAGAGUAAUACCGUAUACGCCCUGUGGGGGAAAGAUUUAUCGGGGAAGGAUUAGCCCGCGUUGGAUUAGGUAGUUGGUGGGGUAAUGGCCUACCAAGCCGACGAUCCAUAGCUGGCUUGAGAGGAUGAUCAGCCACACUGGGACUGAGACACGGCCCAGACUCCUACGGGAGGCAGCAGUGGGGAAUCUUAGACAAUGGGGGCAACCCUGAUCUAGCCAUGCCGCGUGAGUGAUGAAGGCCUUAGGGUUGUAAAGCUCUUUCAGCUGGGAAGAUAAUGACGGUACCAGCAGAAGAAGCCCCGGCUAACUCCGUG
rnacentral:rRNA from 1 species